UACGAAGGGGGCUAGGCGUUGUUCGGAUUUACUGGGCGUAAAGCGCACGUAGGCGGAUCUUUAAGUCAGAGGUGAAAUCCCAAGGCUCAACCUUGGAACUGCCUUUGAUACUGGGGAUCUUGAGUCCGGGAGAGGUGAGUGGAACUGCGAGUGUAGAGGUGAAAUUCGUAGAUAUUCGCAAGAACACCAGUGGCGAAGGCGGCUCACUGGCCCGGUACUGACGCUGAGGUGCGAAAGCGUGGGGAGCAAACAGG
rnacentral:rRNA from 1 species